AGAAAUCUGCCCGAAGAGCGAAUCACGUGACAUUUGUGUUGUGUGUGAACUCGUUUUCACUCUCAGUCAGUCGUAGGCAGACGUUGGCGGACAAAGGAGGACAAAGAACGAACACAGGAAGGAAGCUUGGGAGCAGAGAGACUGUAUUCCCAUGGAAAUGUGAAAUCAUGCCAGACCUUUAGUAGGGACAGUGAGUGAGCCAAACAGGGUGCAAGUCCUUCUGUAUGUUCCCUGCCUUCAGUCUUCUAGACCUCUACUGCUGGUGUCUUCUGUUCUUUUGGUGCAGACAGUGUUUGGAGAGACUGGCAAAAAUGACAUGAAUAAAACUAUAACAACAACAAUUAAGCAACAUCAGAUCAGCUAAUUCAGAUGCUAAACUACCAGUAGUUGCUGGAAAUGUGAGACAGAGUUGGCAUUGAAUGAAUAACUUUCAGCUGGAUCUUGUCUGGAACUUUCUGGAGUUCAUUUGAACCACAUCUGUACAGUCAAUACUAUAAUUCAGAUCUGUCGUAGGGUUCAUGGAGGUCAUAGCCAACAUAAUACAGAUGCCCCUGUUCCAAGAUUCAUUCCUGCAAACCAAGACCAAACUGAUGGAUAAAGUAUCGGCUAAUUCAUUUGUGUCCCUUGCUUGAAGCUGCUUCCCAUGGAACUUUUUCACGAAGUCAUUGACUGUCAAAGUGGCAUGAAGACGGAAUGCACUGAUCAGACCAAGUUUCUCGCUGUUUCCUGGCAGCCAAUGGAAGAGUCGAGAAUACCAGUGCAAGUCAAGUGUUGAAUUUUCCACAAAAUAGCGAGUCAAGUGUUGAAUUUUCCACAAAAUAGCACAGAUUCCGAGCAUUGUUUCUCUCUGGUCAGAAAAAAAAAAUCAGAGAAAUGACUUAUCAAUGAUAUAUUGCUGUCUGUUAGUAAUGAUUGAUCGCAGACUAAAUGCUACCAUGGGUCUACUGGCAAGCUGGAAAGAUACAAAGAUAAAGAUGAUUUAUUAAACUUACUGAACAUGACAUCAGAGAAUAUUCAGUUGUGAAAGUGAAAUAGGCAUUAAUCUGGCAUAAAAGGAUAAAAUUGCUUAAAUUUAUUAGAUUUAUCACUUUUUGUAUCAUAAUUUGGAAUUUUCAUUUAUAUAAUAAUAUUACAUUAUCUUACAAUAUUUUACAUUAUCUUACAUUAUUAUUGAAAUUAUAAAAUUUAGUUCUAUAUAAAUGCAAUCAAAACUUAAUAAAAUAAGAAAAAGAAAAAACUUAGUCGGACAAAUGGUAAGAGCUCUUAGAGAUGAAAUAAUGAGAGAAAAAAUAAAAAAGGCUGCCAACAGAGAAAUGUAUAGUGAAAUUUAUAAACCAAUUAUAGAAGGAAUAGAAAGUCAAAAAGAAAAAUUGUCAAGAGAAUUAAAACGUUUACCUGCAAUAAAACAACAAUUAGAAUCACUCAGUGAUGAAAUAAAUGACAUACAAACAUAUCAAGGCUUACCUCAGCUAUUCCAAGAACCGCAACCAAUUACAUGGUCUCCUGAAGAACUGGCGAGGAAAUAUAAAAAUACAGGGAAAUAAGCAAAGAACCUACUGAAGAAGAAAUUAAAAAAGUACUGGAAGAUUAUAAAAGAGAAAAAAUGAGGAUAACAGAAAAACCGUUACCACCAGAGAAUAUAAUGACAAAAGAAGAGAUUAGUAAAUUAUCAAAAGAAGAUAUUAAUAAAUUAGAAGAAAACUAUAUACCAAUAUAUAAUGAAGAAGGAUCUAUUAGAUUAUUAUCUAAAGAAGAGGUGAAAAAACUAGGAGUUAAAGAAUUUCCUGAAGAAUUAGAAGAAUUGGGAGCAAGACCAAAAGAAUUUAAAGUUGAUUUUAAUCAAGGAAUUGAUUUAGAUCUUAU
rnacentral:lncRNA from 1 species